rnacentral:rRNA from 1 species
UACGUAGGGUGCAAGCGUUGUCCGGAAUUAUUGGGCGUAAAGAGCUCGUAGGCGGUCUGUCGCGUCGGCUGUGAAAACCCGGGGCUCAACCCCGGGCCUGCAGUCGAUACGGGCAGACUGGAGGUAUGCAGGGGAGAACGGAAUUCCUGGUGUAGCGGUGAAAUGCGCAGAUAUCAGGAGGAACACCGGUGGCGAAGGCGGUUCUCUGGGCAAGUCCUGACGCUGAGGAGCGAAAGUGUGGGGAGCGAACAGG